UCACCCCGGUGGGGAGUUAACCAAAAGUUUAGGGUGAGAGGGGCACUUCCCUCUUAGGCUAUAUGGUGUGGGGGUCAUGAUUGGGUCAUGGUUUGCCACAUAGGCCCAUUAUUCAUGCCCUAUACCACCCCCUCAUUAAAUCACGGUGGUUGGCGUGGAUUAAACCACGGCAACCACGUCCCCCCUUUUUUCCAUUAUUCAGGUAAACCCUAACCCCAACAUCAACAAGAACAAUAUGUAUUUUUCAUUCACGUCGCAGUCUUUUGAUCGUAAUCUGCGGUUUUGCUUUUUUCCAAAGUUUUAUACAGGUCCAAAUGGAUUGGAAUUGUUAUUUUAAUAACCCGAGUUUGAGGAUGAAAUUAUGGAGAUUCCGGAAUUGAAGCACCCAAAUGGUAGAGAAAAAACAAAAAAGGACGCGGCGGCCAAAAAUAAAGAGGCGUCGACAAAAAAUGAAACUCCGGGUGAAACGAAGGUGGAUAAGUUGAUGAGCAAGUUCACCGUAUUUAACGAAAUACAAGCGGCAAGACUUAAGUUGAAAGAAAAAGAAAUGCAACGAGACUACGCAUAACCAUCUUCGUUCGGAUUUGAUUGAACAUGUUUGGCAAUUUGGUCGGGUUAACAACAACGAGUAGUUUUUUUUCCUUAAUUUAUAAUAUGCAGUUUAAAUUUGGAUGUUAUUUUUUUUAUUAAUUUGAGUGUUAUGUAGUUUUAUUA